GCCAACACAGUGUCCUCCAGAUGCUGCUAAGCCAGCUGCACUGUGGCAAGAGACCUGAACCUUUCUCUCUGCUUACCAUCUCUGCAUCUUCCCCCACCACUCAAAACAACACUUCUGCAGUCUUGGGCCUCUUCCAAGUCAUUCAGCUCUGGCCACCUCCCCUCUAAUACUUCAAAGGAUGAGCAAAAACGUGGCAACGUGAUUACUUCAGAAAUGAAUAUGCCAGACCUAAAUCCUGACAAAUGAGGGGGGGGGGGAGUUGCAGGGAAAUGGCAAGGAUGUAGCUGUGCACUAAUUCCUUUUGACUGCUUUGAAAAAUCACAGGUCUUCAUUCCUUCCUUCCUCCCACCUACCUCCAACCUAAUCUAGACUUGAACAUCCCUGAUGCUAUUUCUUAAGACUGAGACGAUGAGCAGAAUUAGAAGCCGGGGAGACAGAAGGCAAGCACGUCUAACACAGACAUCCCACGUCAACAUGGCGAAUGGGAGGGUGCCAAGGACCGGUACCAUAUCUGAAGCAUCUCACCCAACCUGGGCUGUGGUGGAGUCACCAUGAAUCAGCAGCUAAUGGCUCACAGACCAGUACUGGUCCAUGGUACACCACUUUGAGUAGCACUGCUCAACAAGACCUUGCCAUUGAGACAGAAGAAGAAUCCUGCUGCACCAGGCCAAAGGCCCAUCUAGUCCAGAAUCCUUUUACUCAGUGGCCAAACCAGAAGCGGUUCCUAAGCACAAUAGCAUUCUCCCCUCCUGCAGAAUCCAGCAAAUGGUAUUCAGAGGGAGAACAGAGCCAGUGGAAAAGCAGAGGUCAGAGUUAGGUGAUUAAUCCAAAUGGAGACGUUUUUCAUAUUUAUGUGGUCCAGCAUCAGAUAUUUUAGGCACAUGGAUAACCAGGUGCUUGGGGUCCUCUCAACUUCUUUA